rnacentral:rRNA from 1 species
UUUUAUGGAGAGUUUGAUCCUGGCUCAGGAUGAACGCUGGCGGCGUGCCUAAUACAUGCAAGUCGAGCGAACAGACGAGGAGCUUGCUCCUCUGACGUUAGCGGCGGACGGGUGAGUAACACGUGGAUAACCUACCUAUAAGACUGGGAUAACUUCGGGAAACCGGAGCU